rnacentral:rRNA from 1 species
UACGAAGGGGGCUAGCGUUGUUCGGAAUCACUGGGCGUAAAGCGCACGUAGGCGGAUCUUUAAGUCAGGGGUGAAAUCCCGAGGCUCAACCUCGGAACUGCCUUUGAUACUGGGGAUCUCGAGUCCGGGAGAGGUGAGUGGAACUGCGAGUGUAGAGGUGAAAUUCGUAGAUAUUCGCAAGAACACCAGUGGCGAAGGCGGCUCACUGGCCCGGAACUGACGCUGAGGUGCGAAAGCGUGGGGAGCAAACAGGGAUUAAGAUACCCUA